rnacentral:rRNA from 1 species
GGACGGAAGUCUGACCGAGCAACGCCGCGUGAGUGAAGAAGGUUUUCGGAUCGUAAAGCUCUGUUGUAGGAGAAGAACGAGUGUGAGAGUGGAAAGUUCACACUGUGACGGUAUCUUACCAGAAAGGGACGGCUAACUACGUGCCAGCAGCCGCGGUAAUACGUAGGUCCCGAGCGUUGUCCGGAUUUAUUGGGCGUAAAGCGAGCGCAGGCGGUUAGAUAAGUCUGAAGUUAAAGGCUGUGGCUUAACCAUAGUACGCUUUGGAAACUGUUUAACUUGAGUGCAAGAGGGGAGAGUGGAAUUCCAUGUGUAGCGGUGAAAUGCGUAGAUAUAUGGAGGAACACU